ensembl:lncRNA
GCAAACCGCAUGUCACCCAGACUGGCCCCAAAGUCAGCCAGCUACUUGCCAACCAGAGCUCGCAGGGCCCGGACGAGAACCCGCUUCUCUCGAUUCCAGGCUGUGUCGUUUCUAGUGUCUCCUCCUGGAUGUCGCCACCUUCUUGCUGAGCAAGGGCAUUAGGAGGUGCAUGGUGAAGGGCCGGGUGAAGGACAGCUAGUCUCUGCCAGGGAACUAGUUAUGCUGAAGCUUGGAGUCCACACUGAGCAGGGUGCUCGGAGGCCAGGCUGAGAGGCAGCAGGGGCCACCCCUGUGUACUCAGGAAACCGCUCAGCCUAGAGAUUCCACCCCAUCAAACCCCGAUGUCUGGAUAUCUGUCAAGGAGGGUGGCGACAGCACGGGUGGAUUCCCCGGGCAGGGGCGCUGGUACCCGUGGCCUGGGACUCCGUAUCCCUCCGGAGCUGGAUCUUCACCAGGUGUUUGGGGUUUCCCACAGAUAAAGCCGGAAGGAGCUCCUGUGAUGGCGAGGCAGGCCCCGCCUCCUGCUUCCCCGAGGGAUUCGAGUGUCUCGGCUGCUGACUUGCUUGAAGAGAGCAGCGGCUCUAAAGAGAUGUCGUGGGAGCAGACGUCUUGGACAGAAGUGCAGUGGCGUGUGUCCAGGGCCCAGUCCUCUGGGAGCUGCCCACCCCGCUUGGGAGCAGAGCCCCCAGCCCUGAAAUCGCUGGGCCAGGGCCAGGCGGGGCGAAUCCCCUCUACCCAGUCGGGUACCAGUGCCCUGGGCGCCCCCAUCAAGGACACCAGGGUUUGCACGACAGGGUAGGAGAAGAGGAAUGCGUUUGGUUGCUG